rnacentral:rRNA from 1 species
UACGGAGGGUGCUAGCGUUGUUCGGAAUUACUGGGCGUAAAGGGCGCGUAGGCGGCCGUUUGCGUCGGAUGUGAAAGCCCGGGGCUCAACCUAGGAACGGCAUUCGAUACGGGACGGCUGGAGACCGGGAGAGGAGAGUGGAAUAGCCAGUGUAGAGGUGAAAUUCGUAGAUAUUGGCUGGAACACCGGUGGCGAAAGCGGCUCUCUGGCCCGGUUCUGACGCUGAGGCGCGAAAGCGUGGGGAGCAAACAGG